CGUUGAUGUGAUGAUAACAUUUCGCAGAAAAAAAAAUGUGUUGAUCAAAAGCAUCAGACUUUAUCUGAUCGAUG